rnacentral:rRNA from 1 species
GACAGAGGUCCCGAGCGUUAGGCGGAAUCACUGGGCUUAAAGCGUGUGUAGGCGGCGGCCUAAGUACCUUGUGAAAUCCCACGGCUCACCCGUGGAACUGCUCGGUAUACUGGGUCGCUUGAGCCACUUAGGGCUAUCGGAACAAAUGGUGGAGCGGUGAAAUGCGUAGAUAUCAUUUGGAACGCCAAUGGUGAAAACAGGUAGCUGGGAGUGUGCUGACGCUGAGACACGAAAGCCAGGGGAGCAAACGGG